CACGCUGUAAACGAUGAAUACUAGGUGUAGGGGGUAUCAACUCCCUCUGUGCCGCAGCAAACGCAAUAAGUAUUCCGCCUGGGGAGUACGGCCGCAAGGUUGAAACUCAAAGGAAUUGAC
rnacentral:rRNA from 1 species